rnacentral:rRNA from 1 species
GUGGGGAAUAUUGGACAAUGGGCGAAAGCCUGAUCCAGCCAUGCCGCGUGUGUGAAGAAGGUCUUCGGAUUGUAAAGCACUUUAAGUUGGGAGGAAGGGCAGUAAGCUAAUACCUUGCUGUUUUGACGUUACCGACAGAAUAAGCACCGGCUAACUUCGUGCCAGCAGCCGCGGUAAUACGAAGGGUGCAAGCGUUAAUCGGAAUUACUGGGCGUAAAGCGCGCGUAGGUGGUUUUGUAAGUUGAAGGUGAAAUCCCCGGGCUCAACCUUGGAACUGCCUCCAACACUGCAUGACUAGAGUACGGUAGAGGGUAGUGGAAUUUCCUGUGUAUCGGUGAAAUGCGUAGAUAUAGGAAGGAACACCAGUGGCGAAGGCGACUACCUGGACUGAUACUGACACUGAGGUGCGAAAGCGUGGGGAGCAAACAGGAUUAGAAACCCCAGUAGUCC